rnacentral:rRNA from 1 species
AUUAGAACGCUGGCGGCGUGCUUAACACAUGCAAGUCGAUCGGUAACAGGUGUAGCAAUACAUGCUGACGAGAGGCGGACGGGUGAGUAAUGCUUGGGAAUCUGCCUAUUAGGUGGGGGACAACCCGGGGAAACUCGGGCUAAUACCGCAUACGCUCUACGGAGGAAAGCCGGGGACCGCAAGGCCUGGCGCUAAUAGAUGAGCCCAAGUCGGAUUAGCUAGUUGGUAGGUAACGGCCUACCAAGGCGACAAUCCGUAGCUGGUCUGAGAGGACGACCAGCCACACCGGAACUGAGACACGGUCCGGACUCCUACGGGAGGCAGCAGUGGGGAAUAUUGGACAAUGGGGGCAACCCUGA